rnacentral:rRNA from 1 species
ACGAGGUCAUGGCGGACGGGUGAGUAACGUGUAAAGAACUUACCUUAUAGACUGGGAUAACAGAUAGAAAUGUCUGAUAAUACUAGAUACUAUUACACUGUGGCAUCACAGAGUAAUGAAAGAAUACGCUAUAAGAGAGCUUUGCAUCCUAUUAGCUAGUUGGUAAGGUAAAGGCUUACCAAGGCGAUGAUAGGUAGCCGGCCUGAGAGGGUGGACGGCCACAAGGGGACUGAGAUACGGCCCUUACUCC